UGGGAUGACGUCAAGUCCUCAUGGCCCUUAUGUCCAGGGCUACACACGUGCUACCAAUGGCCGGUACAAAGGGGCGCAAGACCGCGAGGUGGAGCAAAUCCCAAAAAACCGGUCUCAGUUCGGAUUGGAGUCUGCAACUCGACUCCAUGAAGUUGGAAUCGCUAGUAAUCGCGUAUCAGCAUGACGCGGUGAAUACGUUCCCGGGCCUU
rnacentral:rRNA from 1 species